GACAGAGGAUGCAAACGUUGCUCGGAUUUACUGGGCGUAAAGCGCGCGCAGGCGGUCCCGUAAGUCGGACGUGAAAAGCCCAGGGCUCAACUCUGGAAGUGCGUCUGAUACUGCGAGACUGGAGUACUGGAGAGGAGAGCGGAAUUCCUGGUGUAGCGGUGAAAAUGCGCAGAUAUCAGGAGGAACACCGGUGGCGAAGGCGGGGACUCUGGGCCGAUACUGACGCUGAGGAGCGAAAAGCGUGGGGGAGCGAACAGG
rnacentral:rRNA from 1 species